AACAUCAGCAAGUAACAGCUCGUGGGCAAAAUUUAAGAAUUUUUUUCACUGUGGAAGGCAGUCAAGAAGAUCUGCUGGAGCAGCCCGUGCACCACCUACCUGUUGGGCAAGGAUCCAGCGUUUUUUUAGAUGCUGAACCCUCCACCAAAUAAAUUCUUCUCUGUCAGUACCAUCUACUUACCCACGGAUUGUGAUUAACGGCUCCCUAACUUUGGCUUGUUUAUGGACUUUGGACUUUGCUUUGCCCCUUGGAUUUGAUGACCCGGCUUUGACUGCUUUACCGGUAUCCUGACCUUGGCCUGUACACCUGACGAUUC